UGCAGUCGGACGGGAUUCAGGACAGAGCUUGCUUUGUCCUGAUGAGAGUGGCGCACGGGUGCGUAACGCGUGAGCAACCUGCCCCUGUCAGGGGUAUAGCCCCUCGAAAGAGGGAUUAACACCGCAUGACGAUAUCCCCCGGCAUCGGGGGAUGUCCAAAUAUUCAUAGGACAGGGAUGGGCUCGCGUGGCAUUAGCUAGUUGGUUGGGUAACGGCUGACCAAGGCUACGAUGCCUAGGGGCUCUGAGAGGAGAAUCCCCCACACUGGUACUGAGACACGGACCAGACUCCUACGGGAGGCAGCAGUAAGGAAUAUUGGUCAAUGGAGGGAACUCUGAACCAGCCAUGCCGCGUGCAGGAGGAAGGCCCUACGGGUCGUAAACUGCUUUUGCCGGGGAACAACCCUAUCUACGUGUAGGUAGCUGAGUGUACCCGGAGAAUAAGGAUCGGCUAACUCCGUGCCAGCAGCCGCGGUAAUACGGAGGAUCCGAGCGUUAUCCGGAUUUAUUGGGUUUAAAGGGUGCGUAGGCGGCUUUCUAAGUCAGGGGUGAAAUACAGCGGCUCAACCGUUGCAGUGCCUUUGAUACUGGAGGGCUUGAAUGUGGUCGAAGGCGGCGGAAUGGGACAAGUAGCGGUGAAAUGCAUAGAUAUGUCCCAGAACCCCGAUAGCGAAGGCAGCUGCCUAGGCCAUAAUUGACGCUGAUGCACG
rnacentral:rRNA from 1 species